rnacentral:rRNA from 1 species
UACAGAGGUCUCAAGCGUUGUUCGGAUUCAUUGGGCGUAAAGGGUGCGUAGGUGGCAAGGCAAGUCUGGUGUGAAAUCCCGGGGCUCAACCCCGGAACUGCACUGGAUACUACUUUGCUAGAGUACUGGAGAGGAGAUUGGAAUUUACGGUGUAGCAGUGAAAUGCGUAGAUAUCGUAAGGAAGACCAGUGGCGAAGGCGAAUCUCUGGACAGUUACUGACACUGAGGCACGAAGGCCAGGGGAGCAAACGGG